CAGUCGCCACGGUAACACGGAUGAUCCAAGCGUUAUCCGGAUUUAUUGGGUUUAAAGGGUGCGUAGGUGGCCUGUUAAGUCAGGGGUGAAAGACGGUAGCUCAACUAUCGCAGUGCCCUUGAUACUGAUGGGCUUGAAUGAACUAGAGGUAGGCGGAAUGUGACAAGUAGCGGUGAAAUGCAUAGAUAUGUCACAGAACACCAACUGCGAAGGCAGCUUACUAUGGUUUGAUUGACACUGAGGCACGAAAGCGUGGGGAUCAAACAGGAUUAGAUACCCCCGUAGUCCCUGUCUCUUAUAC
rnacentral:rRNA from 1 species